AUGAGCUAUUCUGCAUUGCGCUGCGCUCAAGCUGGGCUGAAAACUUCUGUUAACAGAAAGCAAAAGGGGUCCACAAGUGUCAGAGUAAUAAACCGAUUCCCACUCAUUCAGUAUCCUCUUCGCCUUCGCCCAUCGCGUCUGGGUCGAGCGAGCAGCGACGAUAAGCUUUGUGGCUGUGAGAGAGGGUUAAGCACGAGUCCAGUGAAGCGUCUAGCUCCUCGAGGUUGUGGUGAAUCUGGUGGGUUCAGAGGUGGAAGGAGUGAUGGAGGAGGAAGAGGUGGCCGGGGUGGAGGCGGUGGUUUUGGUGAGAAGUAGUGGGUUUAAGCCAAGUGGAGGCCGAGGAGGUGACCGCUGCCGUGGUGGUGACCGUGGAAGAGGCAGGGGCCGUGGAGGAAUGAAGGGUGGGACCAAGGUUGUCCUUGAGCCCCAUAGACAUGCUGGGGUUUUCCUUGCUAAGGGUAAAGAGGAUGCUCUUGUGACCAGGAACAUGGUCCCCGGAGAAGCCGUCUACAAUGAGAAGAGGAUUUCUGUUCAGAAUGAGGAUGGAACUAAAGUCGAGUACGGGAUUUGGAACCCUUUACGUUCCAAGUGGGCUGCUGCUAUACUUGGUGGUGUUGAUGAGAUAUGGAUUAAACCUGGUGCCAGGGUUCUCUACCUGGGGGCUGCUUCCGGUACCAGUCUCACAUGUUUCAGACCUUGUUGGCCCUACCGGAUGUGUAUAUGCUGUUGAGUUUUCACAUAGAAGUGGUAGAGACUUUGUAAACAUGGCGAAGAAGAGAACUAAUGUUAUACCAAUUAUUGAAGAUGCUAGGCAUCCAGCGAAAUACCGUAUGCUUGUCGGCAUGGUUGAUGUCAUAUUUUCUGAUGUUGCUCAACCUGAUCAGGCCAGGAUUCUAGCUUUGAAUGCUUCAUAUUAUCUAACCAACGUCACUUGUUACACAAAAACGCUAUUACCCACCCUUUCUUGA